rnacentral:rRNA from 1 species
AACGAACGCUGGCGACAUGCCUAACACAUGCAAGUCGAACGAGACCUUCGGGUCUAGUGGCGCACGGGUGCGUAACACGUGGGAAUCUGCCCUUUGCUUCGGAAUAACAGUUAGAAAUGACUGCUAAUACCGGAUGAUGUCGAAAGACCAAAGAUUUAUCGGCAAAGGAUGAGCCCGCGUAGGAUUAGGUAGUUGGUGGGGUAAAGGCCUACCAAGCCGACGAUCCUUAGCUGGUCUGAGAGGAUGAUCAGCCACACUGGGACUGAGACACGGCCCAGACUCCUACGGGAGGCAGCAGUGGGGAAUAUUGGACAAUGGGCGAAAGCCUGAUCCAGCAAUGCCGCGUGAGUGAUGAAGGCCUUAGGGUUGUAAAGCUCUUUUACCAGGGAUGAUAAUGACAGUACCUGGAGAAUAAGCUCCGGCUAACUCCGUG